GUGCACUGGCGGGCCCUCCCCUCGGGCGUUGCCUCCCACCCACGCCCGGCGGCACCGCACCCCGAGGCGCUUCACGUCACGGAGCUGCUAGGAGACGGGCGGGGCUCCGGUUCCGGACGGAAUCUCACUCUGUCACCCAGGCUGGAGUGCAGUGGCACAAUCUCAGCUCACUGCAACCUCGACCUCCCAGGUACAAGCAAUUCUCCUGCCUCAGCCUCCCAAGUAGCUGGGAUUACAGAUGGAGUUUUGCUCUUGUCGCCCCGGCUGGAGUGCAGUGGUGCGACCUCAGCGAUCUCAGCGAUCUCAGCGAUCUCAGCUCACUACAACCUCUGCCUCUUGGAUUCAAGCAGUUCUCCUGCCUCAACCACCUGAGUAGCUGGGAUUACAGGCGCCUGCCACCACGCCUGGCUAAUUUUUGUAUUUUUAGUAGAGAUGGGGUUUCACCAGGUUGGUCAGUCUGGUCUCGAACUCCUGACCUCAGGUGAUCCACCCACCUCGGCCUCCCAAAGUGCUGGGAUUACAGGCGUGAGCCACCAUGCCCAGCCUACACUUGGGCUUCUUAGGCACAAGAUCCAGUAAGCCCUCCCUCCUCCUCCCCACCCCUUUUUUCUUUACACUAGUGUUUUCUGUAAUCCUGCAACAGAAAGAGUCCUAACUGAUAUAUUUGUGACCAUUUCUAAAAUCUCCAAAAUGUAAAAUUAUACAAUUAAGAAUUAAAAUAAUUUUUUAAAACCAA
ensembl:lncRNA DDX59-AS1 DDX59 antisense RNA 1